rnacentral:rRNA from 1 species
GAUGAACGCUAGCUACAGGCUUAACACAUGCAAGUCGCGGGGCAGCAUGGGGGUUGCUUGCAAUCCCCGAUGGCGACCGGCGCACGGGUGAGUAACGCGUAUCCAACCUGCCCUUCACCACGGGAUAACCCGGCGAAAGUCGGACUAAUACCGUAUGUUGUCCAUUGACGGCAUCCGAUUUGGACGAAAGGCUUGGCGGUGAGGGAUGGGGAUGCGUCCGAUUAGCCAGACGGCGGGGUAACGGCCCACCGUGGCUACGAUCGGUAGGGGUUCUGAGAGGAAGGUCCCCCACACUGGAACUGAGACACGGUCCAGACUCCUACGGGAGGCAGCAGUGAGGAAUAUUGGUCAAUGGGCGUAAGCCUGAACCAGCCAAGUAGCGUGCAGGAUGACGGCCCUAUGGGUGGUAAACUGCUUUUAUGCGGGGAUAAAGUGGCCCACGUGUGGGCUUUUGCAGGUACCGCAUGAAUAAGGACCGGCUAAUUCCGUG